GAGCGGCGGACGGGUGAGUAACGCGUGGGUAACCUACCCUGUACACACGGAUAACAUACCGAAAGGUAUGCUAAUACGGGAUAAUAUAUUUGAGAGGCAUCUCUUGAAUAUCAAAGGUGAGCCAGUACAGGAUGGACCCGCGUCUGAUUAGCUAGUUGGUAAGGUAACGGCUUACCAAGGCGACGAUCAGUAGCCGACCUGAGAGGGUGAUCGGCCACAUUGGAACUGAGACACGGUCCAAACUCCUACGGGAGGCAGCAGUGGGGAAUAUUGCACAAUGGGCGAAAGCCUGAUGCAGCAACGCCGCGUGAGUGAUGAAGGCCUUCGGGUCGUAAAACUCUGUCCUCAAGGAAGAUAAUGACGGUACUUGAGGAGGAAGCCCCGGCUAACUACGUGCCAGCAGCCGCGGUAAUACGUAGGGGGCUAGCGUUAUCCGGAUUUACUGGGCGUAAAGGGUGCGUAGGCGGUCUUUCAAGUCAGGAGUGAAAGGCUACGGCUCAACCGUAGUAAGCUCUUGAAACUGGGAGACUUGAGUGCAGGAGAGGAGAGUGGAAUUCCUAGUGUAGCGGUGAAAUGCGUAGAUAUUAGGAGGAACACCAGUUGCGAAGGCGGCUCUCUGGACUGUAACUGACGC
rnacentral:rRNA from 1 species